AUUUUGAAUUAUUCAAGAUAGACACAAAAUGCUGGAGUAACUUAGCAGGACAGGCAGUAUCUCUGGAGUGAAGGGAUGGGUUACAUUUCGGGUAGGUACUCUUCUUCAGUACUACACCCCA